rnacentral:rRNA from 1 species
AUGGAGGAGGCGGCAGCCGGCGCCGGCGAGGAGGAGGUGUACUGCGCGGUGGGGAAGGAGCAGUGGAACUGGAAGGCGAACCUGCGGUGGGUGCUGGCCAACUUCCCCGGCCGCCGCCUCGUGCUCGCCCACGUCCACCGCCCGCCGCACCGCAUCAACAUGAGUAAGUUCCUGAGUUUACUUGCUCGUGCCAAAUUAAUGGAGCAAGCAUCUUCGUUCUCAUCCUGGUUCAUCCGGUGGAUGGAUGCAGUGGGGGCGUGGGUGCCGGUGAGCCAGGUGGGGGCAGCCAUGGUGGCCGCGUGCAGGAAGUGGGAGGAGGACGAGGCCAGCGACGCCCUCGACCAGCUCAUCCGCAUAUGCAAAGCCCACCGGGUCCUCGCGCGCAAGGUCAUCGUGUCCGGCGACGACGUGGCGGAGGGGCUGGUGCAGCUCGUCGUCGACCAUGGCGUCGGCGAGCUCGUCAUGGGCGCCGCCUCUGACCGGUCCUACUCGAGGAAGAUGCGGGCGCCCAAGUCUAAGAAGGCGGCCACCGUGCUGCUCAAGGCCAACCCCUCCUGCAGGAUCUGGUUCGUCUGCAAAGGAAAGCCCGUCUGCACCAGAGAGGCUAGCGACGAGGGGCUGAGCAGAGGAGAGCCAUCCACGGCUAGCACCAGCCCCAGGCCAGCUGCUUCCGACGACUGCUCCACAUCGAAAUCAUCGUCGGGCCGCCACGGCGAGCCGGUCGGCGUCCAUGACUCGCCUACGUCUUCGAAACCUGGUUCGGGCGACGGAGGCGAGAUGGACGAUGCGCCGCACGGGAAGCUCAAGGACGAGCCCUACGAACAGACUGGUCGGUCGCCUGGAGCUGCGGAAGAAUCCAUGCCCGGCGCAAUGGAUGGUGAUCAUGGUGUCAAUGCCUUCCGGAUAGGGUUGUUAGAGCUGGAGGCGGCGACGGGCCGUUUCGACGAGUCUGCCAGGAUAGGCAUUGCUGGCAUUGGCCGCGCCGGCCUGUACAGAGGAAGCCUGCGCGGCAUGAGCGUCGCCGUCAGGGUCAUUUCCCCUGAUGCCGCCGUCGGCGAGGCACGGUUCGCUCGCGAGGCCGACGCCAUCGGCAGGGUGAGGCACCCGAGCCUCGUGCCGCUCGUCGGUGCGUGCCCGGAGGCACGCGCCGUGGUGCACGAGCUCAUGCCGGGCGGGAGCCUGGAGGACCGCCUCGACCAAGGAGGCGACGGGACGCCGCCGCUGCCGUGGAAGGCGCGGUGCCGCGUGUCACACCAGGUCUGCUCCGCGCUGGCCUUCCUCCAUGCGUCAGCCAAGACGGUGCACGGCGACGUCCGCCCGGCGAACAUCCUCCUGCUAGACCAGGGCGACGAGCGGCGCUCCUCCAUUAAACUCGCCGGCCUCGGCAUGCGCGGGCUCCUGGUGCAGGCGGAGCAGCAGCGGGCCGGCCGCGAGGCGCUGGCGUACGUGGACAAGCGGUACCCCGCGACGGGGGAGCCGACCCCACAGUGCGACGUGCACGCUCUGGGCCUGCUGCUGCUCCGGCUAGUCACGGGCCUGCCGGCGCGUUGGGCGAAGAAGGCGGCACUAGAGGCCGCCGCCGGCGGGGGCAGAGCCUGGCAGCAGGUGGUGGACGCGAGCGCAGGGGGGUGGCCGACGGAGGUGGCUACCGAGGUGGCGCUCCUCGGGCUGAGGUGCUGCGCCGUGAGCGACGGCCGAGCGCCGUGUCGCCCGGCCGGUGAGCUGCUCGAGGAGGCGCGCGCCGUGCUGGAGGCCACGAUGGACGCCGCACCGGGCAGGACGUGGUCUUCAUCACUGUUGUCAUCGUCGGAGAAGGAGGCGUCUGACGGCGGUGGCGCGCCGCCCGUCCUACAUCCUCUACCGGAUAAUCAGGAUCCAAAUAAUCUGAGUGCCAGAAGCAGCAGGUCCACCAGGUAG